rnacentral:lncRNA from 1 species
GCUGGCGCCAGGCAUGUUCUGCAGCCGCAGCUACGGAGCAGCGAUUUGUCCCCUAAGUGCAGCUUCGCACAGUGUGCUCCUUGUGGGCGUUACAAAUUGCGAAGCAGAUUUACAGUGUUCUUUGAGUUGCAAACUGCAGUAUUUCUCCAUGUAGUGAUUAUUAUUCAUCUUUUCCAAGACACCGUGGGCCUGAUCCUGCAAUCUGCACUCCUAUUAAAGUCGGUGCUGUGGGAGUACUGCCGGCGUACAGACGACAGCAUCAGGAGAAGGGUGUUCCUGCCUUGUGACAAUGGGACAGCUCAUGUCAUUAGCAACUUUGGGCUCCUCAGGAACCACUGGGCUUUGGAUGUGAGCCCUGGAUGGGACUCCCACAAGGCCAG